rnacentral:tRNA from 1 species
GCCCAUGUAGCUCAGAGGUAGAGCGCCUCCUUGGUAAGGAGGAGGUCAGGGGUUCGAGUCCCCUCAUGGGCU